CUAGUAAUCGCGGAUCAGAAUGCCGCGGUGAAUACGUUCCCGGGUCUUGUACACACCGCCCGUCACACCAUGGGAGUCGGAAAUGCCCGAAGUCUGUGACCCAACCUUAGGGAGGGAGCAGCCGAAGGCAGGUCGGAUGACUGGGGUGAAGUCGUAACAAGGUAUC
rnacentral:rRNA from 1 species